UAAGGAAUAUUGGACAAUGGGCGCAAGCCUGAUCCAGCCAUGCCGCGUGAAUGAUGAAGGCCUUAGGGUUGUAAAGUUCUUUCGCCGGUGAAGAUAAUGACGGUAACCGGAUAAGAAGCCCCGGCUAACUUCGUGCCAGCAGCCGCGGUAAUACGAAGGGGGCUAGCGUUGUUCGGAAUUACUGGGCGUAAAGCGCGCGCAGGCGGGCUGACAAGCCAGAGGUGAAAUCCCCAAGCUUAACUUGGGAACUGCCUUUGGAACUGUUAGUCUGGAGUCUUGGAGGGGGUGGUGGAAUUCCUAGUGUAGAGGUGAAAUUCGUAGAUAUUAGGAGGAACACCGGUGGCGAAAGCGACCACCUGGACAAGUACUGACGCUGAGGCGCGAAAGCGUGGGGAUCAAA
rnacentral:rRNA from 1 species